rnacentral:rRNA from 1 species
UACGAAGGGGGCUAGCGUUGUUCGGAAUUACUGGGCGUAAAGCGCACGUAGGCGGAUAUUUAAGUCAGGGGUGAAAUCCCAGAGCUCAACUCUGGAACUGCCUUUGAUACUGGGUAUCUUGAGUAUGGAAGAGGUAAGUGGAAUUCCGAGUGUAGAGGUGAAAUUCGUAGAUAUUCGGAGGAACACCAGUGGCGAAGGCGGCUUACUGGUCCAUUACUGGCGCUGAGGUGCGAAAGCGUGGGGAGCAAACAGG